AAGUCUGUGUCUGUAAACAUCCCCGACUGGAAGCUGUAAGCCACUUCCAAGCUUUCAGUCAGAUGUUUGCUGCCACCGGCUC
rnacentral:miRNA from 1 species